AAGUCGUAACAAGGUUUCCGUAGGUGAACCUGCGGAAGGAUCAUUACAUUUAGUAGCCUAGCCGCUAGUCAUGUUCAGGGGUUUCGGGGUUUAGCCCGUUGCAAUGCCAUGGCCAUUUAAAGUCCGCUUUAAUCGGCAUUGGAAGUGACGACGCAAGGCAAGCCCCCCAUCCCCCGUUUUGGUUUGUAACCCCCUUUGGUUUUUUUGCGUACCAAAGUUUCCUCGGCGGGCUUGCUCGCCGGAUGGACAAUACUAUAACCUUUUUAAUAUUCAAUCAGCGUCUGAAAACUUGAAUAAUUACAA
rnacentral:misc_RNA from 1 species